CCAAUCUAGGCGUCCAUAUUCUGCCUCUGGCGUUUCCCUGUACGUUAGCGAUAAGCGACGACGAUUGGACCAAGUUGCCGGCGUUCCUUGGCCAGGAUGGCAGCUUGGU
rnacentral:sRNA from 12 species